GAUGAACGCUAGCGAUAGGCCUAACACAUGCAAGUCGAGGGGCAUCACAUGAAGUAGCAAUACGGAUGGUGGCGACCGGCGCACGGGUGAGUAACACGUAUGCAACCUGCCUUCAACAAGGGGAUAACCCGUUGAAAGACGGACUAAUACCCUAUAACACAGGGGUCCCGCAUGGGAAUAUUUGUUAAAGGACAACCGGUUGAAGAUGGGCAUGCGUUCCAUUAGCUAGUUGGUGGGGUAACGGCCCACCAAGGCAACGAUGGAUAGGGGAACUGAGAGGUUUAUCCCCCACACUGGUACUGAGACACGGACCAGACUCCUACGGGAGGCAGCAGUGAGGAAUAUUGGUCAAUGGACGCAAGUCUGAACCAGCCACGUCGCGUGAAGGAAGACGGCCCUACGGGUUGUAAACUUCUUUUAUACGGGAAUAAAGUGCCCCACGCGUGGGGUUUUGCAUGUACCGUAUGAAUAAGGAUCGGCUAACUCCGUG
rnacentral:rRNA from 1 species